rnacentral:rRNA from 1 species
GCAAGUCGAGGGGUAACAGGGAAGCUUGCUUCCGCUGACGACCGGCGCACGGGUGCGUAACGCGUAUAGAACCUACCUUUUACAGAGGGAUAGCCUUUAGAAAUGAAGAUUAAUACCUCAUAGUAUUAAGGAUUCGCAUGAAUCCUUAAUUAAAGAUUUAUCGGUAAAAGAUGGCUAUGCGUCCUAUUAGCUAGAUGGUAAGGUAACGGCUUACCAUGGCAACGAUAGAUAGGGGUUCUGAGAGGAUAGUC